rnacentral:lncRNA from 1 species
CAACUUCCCGGAUGGGGCUGUGGUGGGUCACAGUGCAGCCUCCAGCCAGAAGGAUGGGGUGGCUCCCACUCCUGCUGCUUCUGACUCAAUGCUUAGGGGUCCCUGGGCAGCGCUCGCCAUUGAAUGACUUCUAGGUGCUCCGGGGCACAGAGCUACAGCGCCGCUACAAGCGGUGGUGCCCGGGCCUUGGCAGGAGGAUGUGGCAGAUGCUGAAGAGUGUGCUGGUCGCUGUGGGCCCUUAAUGGACUGCCGGGCGUUCCACUACAAUGUGAGCAGCCAUGGUUGCCAACUGCUGCCAUGGACUCAACACUCACCCCACACGAGGCUGCGGCAUUCUGGGCGCUGUGACCUCUUCCAGGAGAAAGGUACAUGCCCACGCUCCGGAAUGGCCUGGAAGAGAACUUCUGCCGUAACCCUGAUGGCGACCCCGGAGGUCCUUGGUGCCACACAACAGACCCUGCCGUGCGCUUCCAGAGCUGCGGCAUCAAAUCCUGCCGGGUGGCCGCGUGUGUCUGGUGCAAUGGCGAGGAAUACCGCGGCGCGGUAGACCGCACCGAGUCAGGGCGCGAGUGCCAGCGCUGGGAUCUUCAGCACCCGCACCAGCACCCCUUCGAGCCGGGCAAGUACGCGUAGGCGGUAUCGGCGCCCUGGGGGCCGGGCUAGGGAAGGUCCAGGACUCCAGGGGCAGGGCUCCGUGUAGGGCAACUGGGCGGGGCCAGAUAAGCCAGAGUCCCAGGGUCUUCUUCACGCCCCAUUACCGCCCCCAGGUUCCUCGACCAAGGUCUGGACGACAACUAUUGCCGGAAUCCUGACGGCUCCGAGCGGCCAUGGUGCUACACUACGGAUCCGCAGAUCGAGCGAGAAUUCUGUGACCUCCCCCGCUGCGGUAGGCGGCGGGGACCAGGCCUGGGAGGGUACCUGGGAACCUUGGGGAGGGGCGUGGCUUGGCCGGGGAGGUCAGAGGGGCUGGGCGUGACCUGAGAGCAUAUCCCGUGGAGUACCGUACACCUGGGAAAGGCGGGUUUGGUCCCAGCCCCAGAGGGAUCUCAGCUGUCGCUCGGGGCCGGACCUAUCUCGGUCCAUCUAAGGGUCCGAGGCACAGCCCCGCCAAGAGGCCACAAGUGUCAGCUGCUUCCGCGGGAAGGGUGAGGGCUACCGGGGCACAGCCAAUACCACCACCGCGGGCGUACCUUGCCAGCGUUGGGACGCGCAAAUCCCGCAUCAGCACCGAUUUACGCCAGAAAAAUACGCGUGCAAGUGAGGUGGGGGGGCGGGCGUUGGGACGUGCUGCUGCGGGUGAGACGGGAGGAGGGUAGUCACGGGCUUAGGGCUGGAGGCUGGCGGGCUAGGGCUGAGUGCAGCGCCUGCUUAGAGACCUUCGGGAGAACUUCUGCCGG